CUUGUUUUUAAUAACAUUCCUAAUGAUCGGCCAGUGACUGUUAAAGUGACAGUAGAUAAUCAUCCUUCUGAGAAAACCGUGUUUCCUUCCUUGUCAUCAAGCAAUAAUUACCUGUACAUCGAUGUGAGCUCAAAGGUUGUUUCCCCAGGGGAGGAGGUCAUCGUUAAUUUCAAUGUCGUCGGAAGCAGUCUGGCUGGUAACCAGAUUUACUACCUGGUUCUUAGUAAAGGAGUCCUCAGAGCACAAAACUCUGAACCAUCAGGACCAUUAGUACAAAUUAGACUCCCCGUGAGCAGUGAUCUGAUUCCCUCUUUCCGCCUUAUUGGCUACUACUAUGACCAAACAGGUGACAUCAUAGCGGACUCAGUGUGGGUGGACGUUGAGGACGUCUG